rnacentral:tRNA from 1 species
UAUUAUGUGGCUUAGUUGGUUAAAGCCCGUGCCUAGUGAAUACGGAGUAGUGGGUUCGAAUCCCAACAGAAUGC